ensembl:lncRNA
GGAUCUCUCCCAGUCAUGGAAUUAAUUCCUUGCAGCUUUCACAACCUCUUUUUGUAAAGCUCCCAGAGCUGCUUCUCAAAAAGUAGCUGUCUCCACUCUCAGAAGAUACUGUUGACAACUGCAGGAAACACUGUCAGCAACUUGAGACACAAAGUCCCACUUUCCCUCCAGGCACUCCCUUUUGCCAUGAUUAGGAAGCCAAGUUUUAAUCCACAAGAAACUGGACUAUUCAUGCAGAGAUGGUUACCAAACUCUCUAGAAUGCUGCUUGGUUGUGUGGUCCUGUUGAAAGAAGGAAUCUGACCAUGCCACUUUAUCCAGCGUGGAGAAAAGAUUCUUGCACUCUGUCAAUGGUAUAAGACACAGCAGGAGUGGGUUGAGGAAAAUCACGUAGGAAAGGUCAUGAGAAAGAAGUGAGGAUAUUUAAUACUGCUUAUGCUGGAAAGAGAUGCUCAGUAACAUUUUCAAAAGUACCUAGCUGACAUGGCUGUCUAAAUUCCAUUGACUAAUAUUACUUGGGUGCUUUUGAAAGUCUUACUCACCCCCACCUUCAUGUCUUCAUAUGUACUACUACUUUUGCCUAAAUUCAGCCAUUUUGACAGUUACCCUUUACUUAUUGUCUGUCUAUUUCAGGGUUCAAAGUGAGCAAGGGUGAACCUUAGAUGUAUAUGCUCCUCAGUUUCUUCAGAAGUUUUGUUUUCUAGUAAACAGGAUUGGACUCUAACAAUGACACGCCUAGCAACAUUCAGUGGCUAACACGGAACAGGUCCUGCCCCCUUGGUGCUAACUUGCUGUGAAUCAAGCAUACCAGAAUUGAAGAUAAGGGAGGUGAGUCGAUGGCCUCAUCGGAAGAACAAAGCCUGGAACAAACAGAGUCUGACCGAUAUAAAAAGAAGUCAGAGGCUGCUUUGGUUUCCUAUGUUUCACAGUUCCGAUCAGUGCUGGAAGCCAAGAUGUUGAAACAGAGAUUUCUAGCUUAGUUUUGCAAAUUCAAGAGGUUGUGGAUGAGCAUCUUCACUUUUGAGUACUUCUCUGAAAACUGAACUUCCACUUAAUAGUCACUUAUCAUGGUAUAUUUAUCCACUUGUUUCUCCCUUGUUAGCGUCUAGUUCUAAAUAAUCUAUCUUACUUGCUUUUAAAACAUCUAUGACUGUGGUAUCUGAGUGCUAGAUUCUAUGAAAAAUAUUUAUCCCUCAGUAAAUCCAUCAAGGCACAAUAUUAUUAAAUCACACAUUAUUGUCAUUCGUGGUGAUGGGGACUAUAGUUUUGGGGCCCAAUCCUGGAAGUGCUGAGCUCUUUUUACAAGGUGCAGUGCAUCCUCAACGUCAAUUAAAGUCCAUAGGAGCAGAGGAUGCUUUGCACAUCACAGAAACAGACCUUUAAUAAGCAUAGAACAGUUGAUGCCUCUCGUAUCCGGAGUCCAAUUCAAGGAUAAAUGAAUGUACUGCUCAGUAAAAUGUGUUUGGUAGUCUCUGCUUAACCUUUAGUGGAAAACUGUAAACACCAUAUUGAAAAUAGAAUAUUCAAUUCAACACAGUCUGAAAUGAUUGACAGUAUCUGCUUCAGAGAAGCCAGGACUAAGCUAGCAUGAACACUGCAUUACCUCGUGCUCAAAGAAACGACACCACAUCAUGAGGAAAGUCAUUUGAAGGAGCCCAUACUGUGUGUUGGAGUUUGAUUGCAUUCCCACUGCCUUCACAGUGUACGUCCUAUAGGUAAGUGAGUCUGUCAGAUUUCUUGAGCUAUCCACCUCCCGUCUUCUGCCCAACCCACAACAAAAA